rnacentral:rRNA from 1 species
AACUCACCAGAUAAGACAGCUGAAUGAUAGUCGGGCUGAAGACUCUACUUGACUAGCUGGGAGGAGGUGCAUGGCCGUCGUCAGUUCGUACUGUGAAGCAUCCUGUUAAGUCAGGCAACGAGCGAGACCCACGCCAACAGUUGCCAGCUCGUCCUCCGGGAUGGAGGGGACACUGUUGGGACCGCCUCUGCUAAAGAGGAGGAAGGAAUGGGCAACGGUAGGUCAGCAUGCCCCGAAUUAUCUGGGCUACACGCGGGCUACAAUGGGUGGGACAAUGGGUAUCGACACCGAAAGGGGAUGGAAAUCUCCUAAAGCCAAUCUUAGUCCGGAUUGAGGGCUGCAACUCGCCCUCAUGAAGCUGGAAUCCGUAGUAAUCGCGUUUCAACAGAACGCGGUGAAUACGUCCCUGCUCCUU